rnacentral:RNase_P_RNA from 1 species
GUAUUUAACUGACGGCUAGCGAAAGGACUAAAGCUUAGCCAUGUCUGAUUAACUUAUAAAAGUGCUAUAGCGACGAAUAACCGGGAAACCGGGGAAGUGAGACGACGUAAACCCUGCAAGCGGGCAACCCAAACUUUUUGGUAGGGGCGGUCAAUUUGGCUAAAUGAAGUAAAAAUUGACACCGGUUUUAUCCGGUAGAUAGAUGAUCGUCGAAGAACGUGAUCGCCAAUCUCGUUUGGAACAUAACAUGGCCUAUAGAU